GGUUGAUCCUGCCAGUAGUCAUAUGCUUGUCUUAAAGAUUAAGCCAUGCAUGUCUAAGUAUAAGCAUUUAUACGGCGAAACUGCGAAUGGCUCAUUAAAUCAGUUAUAGUUCAUUUGAUAAUACCUACACUACUUGGAUAACCGUAGUAAUUCUAGAGCUAAUACAUGCGAAAAACCCCGACUUUUCGGAAGGGGUGCAUUUGUUAGAUACAAAACCAAUGCGGCGGGGCAACUCGUCGGAACCUUGGUGAUUCAUGACAACUUUGCGAAUCGCAUGGCCUCUGAGCCGGCG
rnacentral:rRNA from 1 species